rnacentral:lncRNA from 1 species
CCCCAUUUUCUGAGGAAGAAGAGAACUGAUUGCUGCUUCAGACCAUCAAAGCCAGAAGUAGAGGGGAUAAAUGUGUAGCAGGAGACUCUGGAAAACCAUGAAAGAACCUGAGUCCAGGAUAGGAAGAGACAGGACUGGACAUAGAGGACUGGCAAGAAGUCAUGCUUGCUAGGCUUGUGACAGCAGGAAGAAAUAGAAAGAGAGUUGGAUAUUGGGAAACCUGUGAUGAGGAGAGUUCAGCAUGUUUUGGAAGGAGAAGUUUGGAUUUAUUAUGCAGCAGGAGUAUUGCCUUCUCAAUGUCAUUUUCCCAUCUGUCUUGCUGAGCAGUGUUACAAUCUCAGCUGAUCCAUGUGUGCAGUCAUCAGUCAGAUCAUACUGCAUAUUGAUACCGUAAGGCUGAAUAAUGUUCUUGUACAGUCUGCUAUGCUCAAUAUCUUUCUCAAAGGAAUUGUGGAUACCAUUUAAACUUGUUUGUAUUCUUUCCAGUGCCCAG